AGUGAACGCUGGCGGUAGGCCUAACACAUGCAAGUCGAACGGCAGCACAGUAAGAGCUUGCUCUUACGGGUGGCGAGUGGCGGACGGGUGAGGAAUACAUCGGAAUCUACUUUUUCGUGGGGGAUAACGUAGGGAAACUUACGCUAAUACCGCAUAUGACCUACGGGGGAAAGCAGGGGAUCUUCGCACCUUGCGCGAUUGAAUGAGCCGAUGUCGGAUUAGCUAGUUGGCGGGGUAAAGGCCCACCAAGGCGACGAUCCGUAGCUGGUCUGAGAGGAUGAUCAGCCACACUGGAACUGAGACACGGUCCAGACUCCUACGGGAGGCAGCAGUGGGGAAUAUUGGGCAAUGGGCGCAAGCCUGAUCCAGCCAUGCCGCGUGAGUGAAGAAGGCCUUCGGGUUGUAAAGCCCUUUUGUUGGGAAAGAAAAGCAGCGGGUUAAUACCCCGCUGUUCUGACGGUACCUAAAGAAAAAGCAACGGCUAACUUCGUG
rnacentral:rRNA from 1 species